rnacentral:rRNA from 1 species
GAUGAACGCUAGCGGCAGGCUUAACACAUGCAAGUCGAGGGGCAGCAUAAAUAGUAGCAAUACUAUUGGUGGCGACCGGCGGACGGGUGCGUAACGCGUAUACAACCUUCCCUAAACAGGGGGAUAAUCUGGAGAAAUUCGGUCUAAUACCCCAUAACAUCAGAGCAGGCAUCUGUUUUGGUUAAAAUUUCCGGAGGUUUAGGAUGGGUAUGCGUAGCAUUAGCUAGUUGGUGAGGUAACGGCUCACCAAGGCGACGAUGCUUAGGGGGACUGAGAGGUUAACCCCCCACACUGGUAAUGAGACACGGACCAGACUCGUACGGGAGGCAGCAGUGAGGAAUAUUGGUCAAUGGGCGGAAGCCUGAACCAGCCAUGCCGCGUGCAGGAUGACGGCUCUAUGAGUUGUAAACUGCUUUUGUACGAGGGUAAAGUGGGCUACGUGUAGCCUUUUGAAAGUAUCGUACGAAUAAGGAUCGGCUAACUCCGUGCCAGCCGCCGCUGUAA